CCUACGGGCGGCAGCAGUGAGGAAUAUUGGUCAAUGGGCGCGAGCCUGAACCAGCCAAGCCGCGUGAAGGAUGACUGCCCUCCGGGUUGUAAACUUCUUUUAUAAAGGAAUAAAGUGAGGCACGUGUGCCUUUUUGUCUGUACUUUAUGAAUAAGGAUCGGCUAACUCCGUGCCAGCAGCCGCGGUAAUACGGAGGUUCCGAGCGUUAUCCGGAUUUAUUGGGUGUAAAGGGAGCGUAGGUGGGUUGUUAAGUCAGUUGUGAAAGUUUGCGGCUCAACCGUGAAAUUGCAAUUGAUACUGGCAGUCUUGAGUACAGUUGAGGUAGGCGGAAUUCGAGGUGUAGCGGUGAAAUGCGUAGAGAUCACGAAGAACUCCGAUGGCGAAGGCAGCUUACUAAACUGCCACUGACGUUGAUGCUCGAAAGUGUGGGGAGCAAACAGGAUUAGAUACCCCUGUAGUC
rnacentral:rRNA from 1 species